AUUCUCAGCAGGGAACUUUCAUGGCAGCGCUUAUGAAACUUUCUUUGUUACACAAUGAAUGCUGGAGAUAAUACUUGUGGCUGGCAUGAAAAGGAAUCAGUCAGUGCUUUAUGAGUUGACUCAAACUUGACAGUUGAAUUGCACAGCCUCGUCAUGCGCUCAUCCUUACUUUUUUCUACACUGACCCCAUGAUGACUCCUCGUCUUCUGGUUGACGAUUUCAGACGCAGCAACUAGGUCUGGAUCAGAUCUGGGCUAAGUGCGGCCCCAGGGCCACGAGCGGCCCUCUGCCUGCAUCUAUUCGGCCUAUAUGAGGUCAGAUGGAAACUCUGAGCCUGGCCUUGUGGAAAUGUUACCAUUUUGUCAUUUCCAUUGAUUUUCUUCCACUUUUCUGAGGUCAAGCUGGAGGGGGAGCAACCACAGUGAAGGUGCCGAAACAUCCCUCUUAGGUGGAACCUGCAAGUCCCAGAGGGUGCCCACGUUUGCCAUGAGACGUCAUCUUUUUGAUCUUUAAAGAGCAACUAAUCUCCAAAUCCAACUUUCCUUUGUUGUACUCCUCCUCUCCAUGAUACAGUUUUAAAAACAGAUCCAGGGCUUCAAAAUGAGCUCCGAGGCCGACGCCAGCAUGACAUCAUCAAGUCUAAAAAUGGAAAAGGGCUCUUUGAAGAACAACAGAUUCCAGCUAAGACGAUUAGCUCAGCGUCUGAGCCUUCGUCGUCCAAUGACAAUAGCCAACUGCUGGAGCCGAACUAUGACGGUGGGAGAAGGUGAAAUGAUGGUGAUGAUCUGUCUGGAGAGGCCGUCGAGGCAAGAAAGAAGACUCAGUGAGGCCAAGGGAAGGAAUUUAUGGCACACACAAGUGUUAACAUGAGCCUCACCAGCCUCUGUUUUAACACAGUUAAUCUGAGGAAUGACCUCAUUGGUUUCUGCCGUGCUUGAGCCUGAGGGAGAGUAACUCUGAUCUCCUGAGUCGUGCAAAGUGUAAUAACACCCAGCGUGUUUAUAGAUUUAAUAAAACUUUCACUCCUUU